UACGGGGGGGGCAAGCGUUGUUCGGAAUUACUGGGCGUAAAGGGCUCGUAGGCGGCCAACUAAGUCAGACGUGAAAUCCCCAGGCUCAACCUGGGAACUGCGUCUGAUACUGGAUGGCUUGAAUCCGGGAGAGGGAUGCAGAAUUCCAGGUGUAGCGGUGAAAUGCGUAGAUAUCUGGAGGAGCACCGGUGGCGAAGGCGGCAUCCUGGACCAAUACUGACGCUGAGGAGCGAAAGCCAGGGGAGCAAACGGG
rnacentral:rRNA from 1 species